rnacentral:snRNA from 1 species
GUGCUCACUUUAACAGCACAUAUGCUAAAACUGGAACAAUACAGGGAAGAUUAGCAUGGCCCCUGCACAAGGAUGAUAUGCAAAUUUGUGAAACAGUUCCUAUUUUU